rnacentral:rRNA from 1 species
GACGAACGCUGGCGGCGUGCUUAACACAUGCAAGUCGAGCGGAAAGGCCACUUCGGUGGUACUCGAGCGGCGAACGGGUGAGUAACACGUGAGUAAUCUGCCCCUGGCUUUGGGAUAGCCACCGGAAACGGUGAUUAAUACCGGAUACGACCACUUCUCGCAUGGGAUGGUGGUGGAAAGUUUUUUCGGCCAGGGACGUGCUCGCGGCCUAUCAGCUUGAUGGUGAGGUAAUGGCUCACCAUGGCUUCGACGGGUAGCCGGCCUGAGAGGGUGACCGGUCACACUGGGACUGAGACACGGCCCAGACUUCUACGGGAGGCAGCAGUGGGGAAUAUUGGACAAUGGGCGGAAGCCUGAUCCAGCAACGCCGCGUGAGGGAUGACGGCCUUCGGGUUGUAAACCUCUUUCAGCAGGGACGUAGCGCAAGUGACGGUACCUGCAGAAGAAGCACCGGCCAACUACGUGCCAGCCGCCGCCGUAA